rnacentral:lncRNA from 1 species
AUAAAACUAUUGGGAAAGAACAUAGGACAACCUUCUAAUUGAGUGAUGAAAUAAUAAGAUCAAAUGAACCAGGUUGUUCUAACAUCAUUGAUUACUGAAGAAGGGAAGAGCUACUCAGGAGUAUUUUACCUGAAAACUCCAGGUUUCACAGGUAUUGUUUCUGUGAGAAGCAGAGAAGCACCACUGUCUUCACAAGAGCAGAACAACAAUCUCACUUCUGGCUCAGUUGGCUUCAUGCAACCUUCUGUAUGGAAUCUCAUAACCCCACAUGUAUACACAUCUUGCUAAGAAAUAUCCAAAAAAAAAAAAUCUGUAUUUUGGUCCAGAGAAGGAGUUGGCUUUGAAAGACAGGACAAGAGACAGUGAGGAAAAAUAAUGCAGAACAGUUCUUGAUCUGUAGUAAAACCAUCUGUUCCCAUUCCCCCAAGGGUGCCAGAAUUGUAGCUCAGUAAGGCUAUUUCUUUUCUUCCCAUUGCUUUAUAUUGAAAUUAAUUAUUUUAGUCAAUUUUAUGAAGAAAUAGGUCUUGAAUGCUUUAAUUUGGAAGUGCUUCCCAGGCAUAAUUUAAAUUCUAACAUCCAAGUCAAACAAAAAGAUGCUUAAACUAUAGCAUAGUUCUUAGCGACCUCUCACAAUUAUGUUUUUUUUUAAUGAUCAAGA